UACGGAGGGUGCGAGCGUUAAUCGGAAUUACUGGGCGUAAAGCGCGCGUAGGCGGUUGCUUUAGUCGGAUGUGAAAGCCCCGGGCUUAACCUGGGAACUGCAUCCGAUACUGGGCAACUAGAGUACGAGAGAGGGGGGUAGAAUUCCACGUGUAGCGGUGAAAUGCGUAGAUAUGUGGAGGAAUACCAGUGGCGAAGGCGGCCCCCUGGCUUGAUACUGACGCUGAGGUGCGAAAGCGUGGGGAGCAAACAGG
rnacentral:rRNA from 1 species